ensembl:misc_RNA
UAAGAGCACAUGAACAUAGGAACUUUGUGAAGUCUGAGGACAAAACAAAAACAACAUCACUAACAGACCAUAAAAUUAGAAAUCAGUCACAAAAUGCCAGUCAAAAUAUCCAAGAAUUUAUGGUUGAGGAUU